AAGUUAUUUUGGUUAAUUUUUUUACCUUUAGCUUUCUCACCAUCUGCUAUGGUUGUCCAAUCAACUCAGCCUUCCACUGUUCCAUCUACAUCUGAAACAGUUGGGUUUAUAUAAAAUGUUUCAUAAUGCUUUGAAAUCUUAACUAUCAUUGAAAAGAUGAAUUUAUACAAACACUUAUCUGCAAAACAACUUGAAGAUUUAGAUGAUGUGAUGUCUAAAAGAAUUGCUGGCAGAAAACUCUGUCAUGAAUGGUAUGAUACUGACUCAUCAAAGUUUAUCAUUUAUGAUGGUAGACUAGAAAAAGACAAAAUGAUAAAAUUUACACUAUUUCUUACUGAAAACAAGAUAAAACUGAUAUUAAAGCUGUUGAGCCUAAGAUGAAAAAAAUCCAGCUAGCUGCUGAUGUUGUAUUAGAUGAGUUAAUAUUUUCUUAGUUUGAAUAUGAAAUAAUGUAAAAAUGCUUGAAAAAAAAGUUCUGCAAGUUUUGUGGCUUGCAAACAAGUACUUCAAGGUUUGUGGAUUGCAAAUAGAUACAGCAAGUUUUGUAGUUUGC
rnacentral:misc_RNA from 1 species